rnacentral:rRNA from 1 species
GAUGAACGCUGGCGGCGUGCCUAAUACAUGCAAGUCGAGCGAAUGGAUUAAGAGCUUGCUCUUAUGAAGUUAGCGGCGGACGGGUGAGUAACACGUGGGUAACCUGCCCAUAAGACUGGGAUAACUCCAGGAAACCGGGGCUAGUACCGGAUAACAUUUUGAACCGCAUGGUUCGAAAUUGAAAGGCGGCUUCGGCUGUCACUUAUGGAUGGACCCGCGUCGCAUUAGCUAGUUGGUGAGGUAACGGCUCACCAAGGCAACGAUGCGUAGCCGACCUGAGAGGGUGAUCGGCCACACGGGGACUGAGACACGGCCCAGACUCCUACGGGAGGCAGCAGUAGGGAAUCUUCCGCAAUGGACGAAAGUCUGACGGAGCAACGCCGCGUGAGUGAUGAAGGCUUUCGGGUCGUAAAACUCUGUCGUUAGGGAAGGACAAGUGCUAGUUGAAUAAGCUGGCACCUUGACGGUACCUAACCAGAAAGCUACGGCUAACUACGUGCCAGCAGCCGCCGUAA